rfam:Anoxybacillus sp. B7M1, complete genome.
UAGUCCUUUAAAAUCAGUCCCGUGAGGCUGAGAAGGAGCCGGAUCUAAAUACAGCAAAUGUGGUUGUUUUCUGCCCUCUCACCGAUCGGUGGGAGGGUUUUUUGC